AUUGAACGCUGGCGGCAGGCCUAACACAUGCAAGUCGAGCGAGCGGCGGACGGGUUAGUAAUGUAUGGGGACUGCCCGAUAGAGGGGGUUAACUACUGGACACGGUGGCUACUACCGCAUACUAUCGGAUAACCCAUAUGGGAUUAGCUAGUAGGGGGGGUAAAGGCUCACCUAGGCGACGAUCUCUAGCUGGUCUGAGAGGAUGAUCAGCCACACUGGGACUGAGACACGGCCCAGACUCCUACGGAGGCAGCAGUGGGGAAUAUUGCACAAUGGGCGCAAGCCUGAUGCAGCCAGGCCGCGUGUAUGAAGAAGGCCUUAGGGGUGGAAAGUACUUUCAGCGGGGAGGCGUUACCAGCAGAAGAAGCACCGGCGAACUCCGUGCCAGCAGCCGCGGUAAUAC
rnacentral:rRNA from 1 species